AAGGCUGAGGGUCCAAGCAGGGGCCUGCCUGCCUGCCUUCCCCAUUGCUUUGCUUCCCUUGGGCUGAAUCUUCCCUCCCUCCUUCCUUCCUACGAACAGCCAAGGAUCCAAGACGGCAUAACAAGCAGUGAAAGACAAUAUCUGAAGUUGAAAACGGUGGUGAACAUCAUUAAAAGGCCAUAUUGAAAACUAGGGACGGUGUGCAUAAGGAGGCCUCUUAUGACGUUAACAGCUGCCAUUGCCCUUUGAGGAGGUGACCCCAGAUUUCCCCAACAGGGAGUGAGAUCAUCUGGAUCGGGGUCAAAGAGCUCUGGGGAGGAAGAUCCCGUUGAACAUUUCUUGGAAUGAGAUAUUUCCAGGUGACAAACUGCAUGGUCUGAAUUAUAUAGACCCACUUGUUAGGCCAAUGAAAAGAGCCAAGUGUAAAGCAGGAAAAGAAGAAAAGAGACAUCCAAAAGGAGGAAAAGGCAGAAGAAGGGGCAGACAACAACAAAGGAAAUCACACCACCAUCAAGACACAUCAGGGUCUUGUUAGUUGUGAACUCUUGAUAGUCCAAAAGAGGGAAAAACAACAUGAAAAAGGAAGUAGAAUGUGUCCCAUCAGAUUUGAAUAAACAUGGUGGAGUCCAGCUACAGGAGAAACCAAAUCAGUGCAUGAAGCAUGGAACGAAUGGGACUAUGAAUAGUAAUAAUAUUUCAUAUGAAAAACAUGUUAGUGGGGAGAAGCAGUAUAAAUACCUGCAGUGUGGAGAGAGCUUCAGCCAGGACAGUCACUUUAGUUCACAUCAAGGAACUCACACAGGAGAAAAACCAUUUGAAUGCACUGAAUGUGGAAAGAGCUUCAGUGUGG